GCGGCGCCCCCAACCCAACGCGCGCGGUCUUCCGCCCGAGCGCGCCCCCGACCCACGCGCUUCCGGUUGGUGGCCUGUCCCUACCGAGCGCGGUCCUGCUCGCCGCUUCCUGUCUCCUCCCCUCACCCUGUUCCCCGCACCGGCAGAGCGGGCAGCUCCCGAGGCUCGUACCGGAACUGUGGCCUUCUCCCGGGACUUGGAGGACCGCCUCGGCUGAGGAAGUGACCGAGAGAAGAGAGUGGACAGGACUCACGGAAACACUCGAGAAGAUUCUCUCAGUGCCAUCCCCAGAGUGGCUGUGAUAGGAUAAGCCAAGUAAGGGUGAUGUGGAAACCGUUGUUCCAAGUUAAUGGUGAUCGCGGAUAAGAAUUGUUUUGUGUUUCUGUUGUUGAGACAGGGAGGGCAUCACUGUGUAACCCAGGCUUGCUUGGAACUCUUUCGUGGAGCAGUUUCGAACUUGAGAUUCACCUGCUCCUUGAGUCUCUCAAGUGCUGAGAGUAAAGGUGUGUGCCACCACACCCAGUUGGCUAAGACCUUUUAAUUUGUGUCUUAAUUUUUCACCUUGGCUGAUAUUUUUCCUGACCUUGAAGGGGAUGUCAACGGCCUGGACAGCAACGUUGAAAGAAUUGUGGGUACGGUGAGGAGAAAAGUGAAGUAAAAGAGAGCACCCCAGAAAACUCUGAUGAAAAAAGUCAGGAAAUCCUGAUAGCUGAAGAAAAAUAAAAUGAAGAGACGAGAGAUAGAAGAAAGAUUGCCGAUAUUCCCAGAUUCGAUGGAAGAAUGAAAAAAGGAGAAAUAAAACAGAUACUUGGACUUGGGAUGUUGAAGCAGGAGGAUGAGCGAUUGUUAUGCAGCCGGGUGGAAGCCAGCCUAGAAUAAAGUGUGAGAAUGAAAAAAAACACAUAAUGACAGACAUAAUGCAGAGUCAAACUGGCUGGUCACACACAGUUCAGAUUUCAUUGAUAAGACUGACGGAAUCCGUUUAAUAUUGUUACUACCUAAGGCUUCUUUCCAGUUACAGUCAUUCUGAGAACAUUGCACUUGUAUGAGUUUUAAAGUGUUGAUCUGUGAGCAAAGAAUUCCUAUUCUAUACCUCCGUCAGUUCUCCUUAGCAUACAAGGAUCUUUCUUCAAACAUACUAAUUCAAAUGCCUUGAUAAGGUUAGGCCAUAGUCCAGUGGUAAGCUCUGGGCUAGACUCUGUUAGUUCCUGGCCUCCAUUCCCAACAUAGAAAAACAAACAACAAAAACAAAACUAAGCUCUA
rnacentral:lncRNA from 1 species